GAUGAACGCUGGCGGCGUGCCUAAUACAUGCAAGUCGAGCGAACAGACGAGGAACUUGCUCCUCUGACGUUAGCGGCGGACGGGUGAGUAACACGUGGAUAACCUACCUAUAAGACUGGGAUAACUUCGGGAAACCGGAGCUAAUACCGGAUAAUAUAUUGAACCGCAUGGUUCAAUAGUGAAAGACGGUUUUGCUGUCACUUAUAGAUGGAUCCGCGCCGCAUUAGCUAGUUGGUAAGGUAACGGCUUACCAAGGCAACGAUGCGUAGCCGACCUGAGAGGGUGAUCGGCCACACUGGAACUGAGACACGGUCCAGACUCCUACGGGAGGCAGCAGUAGGGAAUCUUGCGCAAUGGGCGAAAGCCUGACGGAGCAACGCCGCGUGAGUGAUGAAGGUCUUCGGAUCGUAAAACUCUGUUAUUAGGGAAGAACAAAUGUGUAAGUAACUAUGCACGUCUUGACGGUACCUAAUCAGAAAGCCACGGCUAACUCCGUG
rnacentral:rRNA from 1 species